UACGAAGGGGGCUAGCGUUGUUCGGAAUUACUGGGCGUAAAGCGCGCGUAGGCGGUUUUGCAAGCCAGAGGUGAAAUGCCUGAGCUCAACUCAGGAAUGGCCUUUGGGACUGCGAGGCUUUGAGGACUGGAGAGGUGAGUGGAAUUCCCAGUGUAGAGGUGAAAUUCGUAGAUAUUGGGAAGAACACCGGUGGCGAAGGCGGCUCACUGGCCCGAUACUGACGCUGAGGUGCGAAAGCGUGGGGAGCAAACAGG
rnacentral:rRNA from 1 species